CAUAUACUCUUUUCGUCCGGAAAUACUUGUCAUCAAAAUAAAUAAAAGGAAUGUAUUUAAACAUAAUUUAGUUCUAAAAACAUCUCUUUUUAUUCAUUUUAAUGACAAGUAUUUUCGGAUGGAGGGAGUAAUUA
rfam:Triticum aestivum genome assembly, contig: Triticum_aestivum_CS42_TGACv1_scaffold_405102_5BL